CCAAUAGCGUAUAUUAAAGUUGUUGCAGUUAAAAAGCUCGUAGUUGAAUUUCGGGAUCAGUACGCUGGUCGUGCCUUCGGUAUGAACUGGUGUCACUGGUUCCUCCCUUCUGAAGAACCGUUAUGCCAUUCAGUUGGUGUGGCGGGGAAUCAGGACUGUUACUUUGAAAAAAUUAGAGUGUUUAAAGCAGGCUCGCGCUUGAAUACAUUAGCAUGGAAUAAUGAAAUAGGACGUUUGAUCCUAUUUUGUUGGUUUCUAGGAUCGACGUAAUGAUUAAUAGGGAUAGUUGGGGGCAUUAGUAUUCAAUUGUCAGAGGUGAAAUUCUUGGAUUUAUUGAAGACUAACUACUGCGAAAGCAUUUGCCAAGGAUGUUUUCAUUAAUCAAGAACGAAAGUUAGGGGAUCGAAGACGAUCAGAUACCGUCGUAGUCUUAACCAUAAACUAUGCCGACUAGGGAUCGGAUGAUGUUAAUUUUUUAAUGACUCAUUCGGCGCCUUACG
rnacentral:rRNA from 1 species